GGGAAUGACAAGCCAUGGCAUGUGCGUGGGAAUGAGUGAUGUUGCCACCAGAGUUCAUGUAGCAUUAGAAACACACCAAUUUCCACAUCACAACCCAGUCAGAUGAGCUCCUGACUUCAGCAGGAGUUGUUUCAAGCCCUGCCUGAAAAGAUGGAGAAUUAUGAAGCAGUUAAAGAUGAUGUGAAGAAGUUCUGUGACAGAAGUUAACGUUACCAAAGCACAAAUCUUUGGCUUCCUAGAUGGGAACCCUCCUCUUAAAACUGGGUGUUUUGUCAAGCUUAAGCUUCUACAUGGACACAGGUUACCAAGGCUAAUAUUUGAGAACUGGGAAUACAAACAGAAGAUGCAAAUUUGCUCCCACUCCCUGGCCUCCUGUAAUAUCAAGACUGCAGUUUAAGAGAUGUCAUCAGAAUUAAGCAUUAAAUGUGAUUGUGGGUGGAAGGCAUGGGGUAUGUAACAAUAUGAUUUAGGUAUAUUGUAGUGCAAAUAACAUGCAGUGUGCUGGAUGCAGCAAGGAAUGCUUCUUUGAUGCAGUGUGCUGGAUGCAGCAAGGAAUGCUUCUUUGUUAGCUUCUGAAGGUGAUGCUCUGACGUGUGAAGAAUUUUACAUCUGAAAAAUGCUAUG
rnacentral:lncRNA from 1 species